rnacentral:rRNA from 1 species
AGAAUCAACGCUGGCGGCGUGCCUAACACAUGCAAGUCGAACGAGAAAGUGGAGCAAUCCAUGAGUAAAGUGGCGCACGGGUGAGUAACACGUGACUAACCUACCUUUUAGUGGGGGAUAACCUAGGGAAACCUGGGCUAAUACCGCAUAAUACUUACGAGUCAAAGCAGCAAUGCGCUGAAAGAGGGGGUCGCGGUCGAUUAGUUAGUUGGCAGGGUAAUGGCCUACCAAGACUGUGAUCGAUAUCCGGCCUGAGAGGGCGCACGGACACACUGGAACUGAAACACGGUCCAGACUCCUACGGGAGGCAGCAGUGGGGAAUUUUGCGCAAUGGGGGAAACCCUGACGCAGCAACGCCGCGUGGAGGAUGAAGUCCCUUGGGACGUAAACUCCUUUCGAUCGGGACGAUAAUGACGGUACCGGAAGAAGAAGCCCCGGCUAACUUCGUGCCAGCAGCCGC